rnacentral:misc_RNA from 1 species
CGAAAUGCGAUAAGUAAUGUGAAUUGCAGAAUUCAGUGAUUCAUCGAAUCUUUGAACGCACCUUGCGCUCCUUGGUAUUCCUUGGAGCAUGCCUGUUUGAGUAUCAUGAAAUCUUCAAAGUAAAUCUUUUGUUAACUCAAUUGGUUUCUACUUUGGUAUUGGAGGUCUUUGCAGCUUCACACCUGCUCCUCUUUGUUCAUUAGCUGGAUCUCAGUGUUAUGCUUGGUUCCACUCGGCGUGAUAAGUUAUCUAUCGCUGAGGACACUGUAAAAGGUGGCCAAGGUAAAUGCAGAUGAACCGCUUCUAAUAGUCCAUUGACUUGGACAAUACUUUUAUGAUCUGAUCUCAAAUCAGGUAGGACUACCCGCUGAACUUAAGC